rnacentral:rRNA from 1 species
GAUGAACGCUGGCGGCGUGCUUAACACAUGCAAGUCGAACGGAGUUGAUUUAAGGAAGCAAGCUUGCUUGAAGAAUUGAAUUAACUUAGUGGCGGACGGGCGAGUAACACGUGAGCAACCUACCUCUUACAGGGGAAUAACAACGGGAAACCGUUGCUAAUACCGCAUGAUAUGUGCUGAAGGCAUCUUUGGCACAUCAAAAGAGCAAUCUGGUGGGAGAUGGGCUCGCGUCUGAUUAGCUAGUUAGUAAGGUAACGGCCUACCAAGGCGACGAUCAGUAGCCGGACUGAGAGGUCGAACGGCCGCAUUGGGACCGAGACACGGCCCAGACUCCUACGGGAGGCAGCAGUGGGGAAUAUUGGGCAAUGGGCGAAAGCCUGACCCAGCAACGCCGCGUGAAUGAUGAAGGCCUUCGGGUUGUAAAAUUCUUUGGACAGGGACGAAGAAAGUGA